CCUACGGGUGGCAGCAGUGAGGAAUAUUGGUCAAUGGGCGCGAGCCUGAACCAGCCAUGUCGCGUGCAGGAUGACUGCUCUACGGGUUGUAAACUUCUUUUAUAAAGGAAUAAACAGAGGUACGUGUGCCUGCUUGUAUGUACUUUAUGAAUAAGGAUCGGCUAACUCCGUGCCAGCAGCCGCGGUAAUACGGAGGAUCCAAGCGUUAUCCGGAUUUAUUGGGUUUAAAGGGUGCGUAGACGGGUUGUUAAGUCAGUUGUGAAAGUUUGGGGCUCAACACUAAAAUUGCAAUUGAUACUGGCGAUCUUGAGAGCAGUUGAGGUAGGCGGAAUGCGUGGGGUAGCGGUGAAAUGCUUAGAGAUCACGAAGAACACCGAUUGCGAAGGCAGCUUACUAAACUACAACUGACAUUGAUGCACGAAAGUGUGGGUAGCAAACAGGAUUAGAUACCCGUGUAGUC
rnacentral:rRNA from 1 species